UACGGGAAGGCAGCAGUGGGGAAUAUUGCACAAUGGGCGAAAGCCUGAUGCAGCUAUGCCGCGUGUAUGAAGAAGGCCUUAGGGUUGUAAAGUACUUUCAUCGGGGAGGAAAAACAAAACUAAUAAUUUUAUUUCUUGACGUUACCCGAAAAAGAAGCACCGGCUAACUCCGUGCCAGCAGCCGCGGUAAUACGGAGGGUGCUAGCGUUAAUCAGAAUUACUGGGCGUAAAGAGCACGUAGGUGGUUUUUUUAAAGUCAGAUGUGAAAUCCCUGGGCUUAACCUGGAACUGCAUUUUGAAACUGAAAUACUAGAGUAUCGUAGAGGGAGGUAGAAUUCUAGGUGUAGCGGUGAAAUGCGUAGAUAUCUGGAGGAAUACCUGUGGCGAAAGCGGCCUCCUAAACGAAUACUGACACUGAGGUGCGAAAGCGUGGGGAGCAAACAGGGAUUAGAUACC
rnacentral:rRNA from 1 species